rnacentral:rRNA from 1 species
CGGGACGGGUGAGUAAUGUCUGGGGAAACUGCCUGAUGGAGGGGGAUAACUACUGGAAACGGUAGCUAAUACCGCAUAACGUCGCAAGACCAAGAGGGGACCUUCGGGCCUCUUGCCAUCGGAUGUGCCCAGAUGGGAUUAGCUAGUAGGUGGGGUAACGGCUCACCUAGGCGACGAUCCCUAGCUGGUCUGAGAGGAUGACCAGCCACACUGGAACUGAGACACGGUCCAG